rnacentral:pre_miRNA from 1 species
UUAACUCAAAUCUGUAUGCAGUUGGAACAGCGCCCCUAGCGGCAAACGUAGGCAAACGUUCCAACUCCAUACAAAUUUGAGUUA